ensembl:rRNA 5S_rRNA 5S ribosomal RNA
GCUUACGGCCACACCGGCCUGAGUACGCCUGAUCUCGUCGAUCUCGGAAGCUAAGCAGGGUUGGGCCUGGUUAGUACUUGGAUGGGAGACCGCCUGCGAAUACCAGGUGCUGUAAGCU